rnacentral:rRNA from 1 species
GAUGAACGCUGGCUACAGGCUUAACACAUGCAAGUCGAGGGGAAACGACAGGGAAGCUUGCUUCCUUGGGCGUCGACCGGCGCACGGGUGAGUAACGCGUAUCCAACCUGCCUCUGACUGAGGGAUAACCCGUCGAAAGUCGGCCUAAUACCUCAUGGCAUCGUCUGCGGGCAUCCAACGACGAUUAAAGAUUUCAUCGGUCAGGGAUGGGGAUGCGUCUGAUUAGCUUGUUGGCGGGGUAACGGCCCACCAAGGCUACGAUCAGUAGGGGUUCUGAGAGGAAGGUCCCCCACAUUGGAACUGAGAUACGGUCCAAACUCCUACGGGAGGCAGCAGUGAGGAAUAUUGGUCAAUGGGCGAGAGCCUGAACCAGCCAAGUAGCGUGCAGGAUGACGGCCCUAUGGGUUGUAAACUGCUUUUAUGCGGGGAUAAAGUGAGGGACGUGUCCUUCAUUGCAGGUACCGCAUGAAUAAGGACCGGCUAAUUCCGUGCCAGCAGCCGCGGUAAUACGGAAGGUCCGGGCGUUAUCCGGAUUUAUUGGGUUUAAAGGGAGCGUAGGCCGUGGAUUAAGCGUGUUGUGAAAUGCAGGUGCUCAACGUCUGCACUGCAGCGCGAACUGGUUCACUUGAGUGUGCGCAACGCAGGCGGAAUUCGUCGUGUAGCGGUGAAAUGCUUAGAUAUGACGAAGAACUCCGAUUGCGAAGGCAGCUUGCGGGAGCACAACUGACGCUGAAGCUCGAAAGUGCGGGUAUCGAACAGG